rnacentral:rRNA from 1 species
GCGGUAUUUUGACCGUGCGAAGGUAGCAUAAUCAUUNGACUUUUUAAUAAAAAGUUUGUAUGAAGGGUUGAACGAGAAACAAACUGUCUCCACCAAAUUGGUUGAACUUAACUUUUAAGUGAAAAGGCUUAAAUGACCCAGAGGGACGAUAAGACCCUAUAAAGUUUUACAUUAUAAUCAUUACAAGGCAGUUUAAGUGGGGAGGGCCUGUUAUCGGUUAGGNUGUUUUGUUGGGGUGACAAGAAUAUAAAUGAUACAACUGUUCUUAUNNAAAAACAAAUAUGUUUGUUUCAGCGAUCUUUAAUUUAAGGUGGUAGAAUAAAUUACUUUAGGGNAUAACAGCNGUUAUUUUUUUAAANGAGUUCUUAUCGACAAAAAAGUUUGCNGACCUCGAUGUUGAAUUAAAGGNUUCU